CAGUCGCCACGGUAAUACAGAGGAUGCAAGCGUUAUCCGGAAUGAUUGGGCGUAAAGCGUCUGUAGGUGGCUUUUCAAGUCCGCCGUCAAAUCUCAGGGCUCAACUCUGGAACUGCCUUUGAUACUGGGUAUCUUGAGUAUGGAAGAGGUGAGUGGAAUUCCGAGUGUAGAGGUGAAAUUCGUAGAUAUUCGGAGGAACACCAGUGGCGAAGGCGGCUCACUGGUCCAUUACUGACGCUGAGGUGCGAAAGCGUGGGGAGCAAACAGGAUUAGAUACCCCUGUAGUCCCUGUCUCUUAUAC
rnacentral:rRNA from 1 species